GAUGAACGCUAGCGGGAGGCCUAACACAUGCAAGCCGAGCGGUAUUGUUUCUUCGGAAAUGAGAGAGCGGCGUACGGGUGCGGAACACGUGUGCAACCUGCAUUUAUCUGGGGGAUAGCCUUUCGAAAGGAAGAUUAAUACUCCAUAAUAUAUUGAACGGCAUCGUUUAAUAUUGAAAGCUCCGGCGGAUAGAGAUGGGCACGCGCAAGAUUAGCUAGUUGGUGAGGUAACGGCUCACCCAGGCAAUGAUCCUUAGGGGGCCUGAGAGUGUGAGCCCCCACAAUGGAACUGAGACACGGACCGGACUCCAACGGGAGGCAGCAGUGAGGAAUAUUGGUCAAUGGGUGCAAGCUUGAACCAGCCAUCCCGCGUGAAGGACGACUGCCCUAUGGGUUGUAAACUUCUUUUGUAUAGGGAUAAACCUUGCCACGUGUGGAGAGCUGAAGGUACUAUACGAAUAAGCACCGGCUAACUCCGUGCCAGCAGCCGCAGUAACAC
rnacentral:rRNA from 1 species